UAACAGAGUGAGUAAGUGUAAGCGAGUGCAUGAAUGAACGAGAGAAUGUGAGUAAGUUGGUGAGUGACAGAGUGAGUAAGUGUGAGCGAGUGGGAGCGUGAAUGAGUGAAAGAGUGAAUGGGUGGCUGAGGAAUGUAAGUGCGUAAAAGGUUAUGAGAAGAUAACACGGCGAGCGAAUGAGCGAAUAUAUGAACGAGAGUUACUGAAAUCCCUCAUCUCAAAGCCUCGAACCCCUCCAAGAAACCAAUAACUAGUUAGUUAGUUAGGUAGGGUUUGAUUGUAAUGUCGAGAGGGAGUCACGUGAAGAAGGGGGAGGAGCUUAGCGAGGAGCAGAGGCGAGAAGGCGAGGGCAAGGAGACCCACGGGUCAGUGAGGAGACAAGCACCACUGCAGCAAGGCACAAGCUUGAGAGACGCGAGGAGACGAACACCCCAACAGCAAGGAAAGGCAGCGAGAAAACACCGAGAAGUGGGCUGGUCAGAGAGGUGUCCAUCUCUCCACUCAGCCCCCGACAUACACACCACCCACGGCCUGCUGUGUGAGGCGGGCUAGUCAGGAGACGAGCAGCAGGAAGCAAAGAAAGGCAGAAAAACCACCCACGGCCUGCGGUGUGAGACGGACUACAGGAUGGGAACUUUUAUGGCGGAGUAACCUGCCCCUCGACUGCCCUGGGGGCCGAAAUACCACUGCCCAAGCUGCUCCCUACAUCAAAGGGCGCCCGCCUCUUCACACCACCCGAGCCGCUCCAUCUCCACAUCAAGCGGCGCCCGUCUGUCCUUCACCAUCGUGGACGUCCCCUGCCGAGCCCGACACUCACGCCAGCUCCUGCUUCUCCGCCUCCAGCAACUAGAGGCAUGGAGCAGCUGCUUGGGUUGACGGUGUAUGGUAAUAGGCGCCGUGAUAACAUGAGAAUGGUUGGCGUGCAGCACUAAGAACAAUGUCUCAUCGGUCGGUAGCUAAACGCGGAAUCCUUGGGCACUGAUGUUUACUGGCACUUGAUGUUUGAACUGAAGACAGAUUAUCGCACACCUGGCAGCGUUGCUACACUGGUGCUGCUAUCAUGCGGGCACCCUCCGUAACUCCCCUGACGUCACCAUGAUUCCAUUCUGUUUGGCGUGCCCAGACGACACUGCUGCCCACUCACGUCAACGCGGGGAAUUAGUACAGUUAAAGUUGAACCCUCUCGAGUACUGUAGCCUGUAAAUACAGAAGUGAUGCCAUCCUGCACCACUAGUAUUAACGGUUCAAGAUGCAACAGUUAGAAUGGCCGAGCGGCGGCGUACUCGUUAUCGUUCUGGCAGACUUGAGAGGUGAACUGCCGCUCGAAGCCCACACGGCUAUAUCCUGCCCCGGCCAUAACUCCUCGCCAGUUAUGUGUUGUGGUGAAGGCUUCAGUUAAGAGUUACUGUGGGUAUGCAUGAUGAUAAUGAGGAGGUAUGAGGAAGGAAAUAAACGUAGUGAUGACGCAAUUGGUCGAGGUACUUAAAGCAUGUAUGAUGUUAAAGUUGAGGAGGGAAGUGGAAGAUGAUAGAUGUAAUGAUGAUGCAGGUGGUCGAGGUACUUAAAGCAUGUAUGAUGAUAAAGUUGAGGAGGGAAGUGGAAGAUGAUAGAUGUAAUGAUGAUGCAGGUGGUCGAGGUACUUUACACACUAUAAUCCUUGGCUGACUGACAUGACAACCUCCACAAGUCAAGACGGCACUCAUUCUUGAACACACCCAAACGGCAACACCCCACCACACCACACAGCCUCCCUCACCUCCUGUAAUGCCACGGAUCGCCUCGGCCUCGCGCUCAUCAUCCCUGGUCACGGUUCCCUGCAGGACACAACACAACGCAACACAUGCACAGCAACACUCCGCGACACACUUAAAAGUAAGCAUGGGUGAGAGAGGGAGACACAGGUGGUGACGGGAUUGUGAAGGUGGGCAGGAGCGACAG